GAUUCUAUGGGACUGGCAACACUGGCGUUGCGUUGGUGUGGUGGUUGCGUGGCGUUUUCUUUGUCGUCCUUCCUUUCCUUGUGUAAAAAAACGAUUAUUUAAAUCUAAUCUUGUGCCUUGUCUUGUUCUAUAACUUCAUAAUAUGUCCCGUUACCGAGAGUGGGAUCUUUCGUGCAAGGUCUACGUGGGUAACCUAGGCACUAACGCUUCCAAGUAUGAAAUUGAGAAAGUGUUUGCGAAAUAUGGGACCAUCCGCAACGUAUGGGUGGCGCGAAACCCGCCAGGCUUUGCGUUUGUCGAAUUUGAGGACACGCGCGAUGCUGAAGAUGCCGUCAGAGGAUUAGAUGGAACACGCUGUUGUGGUACCCGCAUCCGUGUGGAAAUGUCCAGUGGGCGCACACGCAGAGACGGCCGCAGAGUCUCCAGGUCCAUUUUAUCAACCAACCACCAACACACCUACUGCCUCACCACAUCUGUUCACCACAACGGCUCGUAUACAACCUUCAAUAAGACAUCCGUGACCAACGCUCUCAGCAACAUCCUCGCCGGCUUCAACGGUCUCGCCAAUCGACUGCGUGCGGCAGCAGCCUCCAAUAACUACAUCCCUCUCCUCACCGCUGUCACCUAAACCUUAUCCUCAUGGACCUAACUGUGAGCAACAAAUUACUGUCAGUGUAAGACACUGCCCCAUCUGGUCCAGAACCUCUGCAAUUCCCUGAUGCUUCACCGACUGCACACUCUCAACAUCACCGAGGCUUCAAGCAAAAAACAGCAACAGUCAACUUGCCACGUGCAAAGCAACAGUAUCUCUCGCAUCUUCCAAUAUCUGCUGCACAACGGAAGAUAUGUUGAAAAUAGUCGGUCAACAGUAGUAAACCCUUCGACCCACCGCAGCCUCACAGCAGUCAACCAACGCAUCAGGCUCAUCAAGUCUCGGUCCCGCAGCCGCAGCCCCCGGCGGCGCUCGUACUCCCGCGGGCGCUCGGGGUCGCCGCGCCGCUCGCCCUCCCCGCGCCGUCGCUCGCCCUCCCCCCGCCGCCGCUCGCCCUCGCCCCGUCGCAGCCGCUCUGACAGCAGGAGCAG